GAUUAUGGCUCAGAACGAACGCUGGCGGCAGGUCUUAGGCAUGCAAGUCGAACGGAUGACAAGGGAGCUUGCUCCUUGAAGUCAGUGGCGCACGAGUGAGUAACGCGUGGGAAACUGCCCUUCACUGGGGAAUAACGUUUGGAAACGAACGCUAAUACCGCAUACGCCCGCAAGGGGAAAGAUUUAUCGGUGAUGGAUGUGCCCGCGUUGGAUUAGCUAGUUGGUGGGGUAAUGGCCUACCAAGGCGAUGAUCCAUAGCUGGUCUGAGAGGACGAUCAGCCACGCUGGAACUGAGACACGGUCCAGACUCCUACGGGAGGCAGCAGCUAAGAAUAUUGGGCAAUGGAGGAAACUCUGACCCAGCCCAUGCCGCGUGAAUGAAGAAGGCCUUCGGGUUGUAAAGUUCUUUUAGUCAUGAAGAUGAUGACAGUAGUGACAGAAAAAGCACCGGCUAACUUCGUGCCAGCAGCGGC
rnacentral:rRNA from 1 species